UACGUAGGGGGCUAGCGUUGUCCGGAAUCAUUGGGCGUAAAGCGCGCGUAGGCGGCCCGGUAAGUCCGCUGUAAAAGUCCAGGGCUCAACCCUGGAACGCCGGUGGAUACUGUCGGGCUAGAGUCCGGAAGAGGCGAGUGGAAUUCCUGGUGUAGCGGUGGAAUGCGCAGAUAUCAGGAGGAACACCGAUGGCGAAGGCAGCUCGCUGGGACGGUACUGACGCUGAGGCGCGAAGGCGUGGGGAGCGAACAGG
rnacentral:rRNA from 1 species